GCUCUUAAAGGAUAACAGUCAUCCGUUGGUCUUAGGAACCAAAAACUCUUGGUGCAAAUCCAAGUAAAAGCU
rnacentral:tRNA from 1 species